UACGGAGGGGGCUAGCGUUGUUCGGAAUUACUGGGCGUAAAGCGCGCGUAGGCGGCCAUUUAAGUCAGAGGUGAAAGCCCGGUGCUCAACAUCGGAAUUGCCUUUGAGACUGGGUGGCUAGAAUCCGGGAGAGGUGAGUGGAAUUCCGAGUGUAGAGGUGAAAUUCGUAGAUAUUCGGAAGAACACCAGUGGCGAAGGCGGCUCACUGGACCGGCAUUGACGCUGAGGUGCGAAAGCGUGGGGAGCAAACAGG
rnacentral:rRNA from 1 species